rnacentral:rRNA from 1 species
AUUGAACGCUGGCGGCAGGCUUAACACAUGCCAGUCGAGCGGAAGAAGCGAGCUUGCUCCUGGAUUCAGCGGCGGACGGGUGAGUAAUGCCUAGGAAUCUCCCUGCUAGUGGUUGAUAACGUCUGGAAACGGGCGCUAAUACCGCAUACGUCCUGAUCGAGAAAGUGGGUGAUCUUCGGACCUCACGCUAUCAGAUGAGCUUAGGUCGGAUUAGCUAGUUGGUGGGUUAAAGGCCUACCAAGGCGACGAUCCGUAACUGGUCUGCGAGGAUGAUCAGUCACACUGGAAGUGAGACACGGUCCAGACUCCUACGGGACGCAGCAGUGGCGAAUAUUGGGCAGUGGGCGAAAGCCUGAUCCAGCCAGGCGGCGUGUGUGAAGAAAGUCUUCGGAUUGUAAAGCACUUUAAGUUGGGAGGAAGGGCAGUAAGUUAAUACCUUGCUGUUUUGACGUUACCAACAGAAUAAGCACCGGCUAACUUCGUG